AGAGAGAGACAUGCGCGCAUAUCAAUAAGCGGAGGAAAAGAAACUAACAAGGAUUCCCUUAGUAACGGCGAGUGAAGCGGGAAGAGCUCAAAUUUGAAAUCUUCAAGGUUUUACCUUGACGAAUUGUAGUUUAAAGAAGUGUUUUCUGCUGAAGUUUAUGGUAAAAGUUCUUUGGAAUAGGACAUCAUAGAGGGUGAGAAUCCCGUAUUUGACCAUUAUUUUCAGCUUUGUGAUACACUUUCAAAGAGUCGGAUUGUUUGGGAAUGCAGUCCAAAAUGGGUGGUAAAUUUCAUCUAAAGCUAAAUAUUGGCGAGAGACCGAUAGCGAACAAGUACCGUGAGGGAAAGAUGAAAAGAACUUUGAAAAGAGAGUUAAACAGUACGUGAAAUUGUCAAAAGGGAAGCGUUUGACACCAGUGUUGUUUUCUCGAAAAUCAAUUAAAAAUGGCUCGAUUUUGUAUUGUUGAGACCUUAAAAGCUCACUGUACAUUUUUCGUGUCUUUUUUAAUGCACUUUUCGUUUAACAAGUCAACAUCAGUUUCUUUUGUUGUAAAAGGGUCAUUGGAAGGUGGCUUUCUUUUCGGAGAAAGUGUUUAUAGCCUUUGGCCUCUGCAAUCGGAAGAGACUGAGGUCUGCAGCGUAGACUCUUCGGGGUUAGAUACAUUUGUGCUAAGUUAUAGCUUUUUAUAGACAACUUGUUGACUAUAAUUAGUCUUGUAGCUUACUCGCUUAUGCUAUUUUACCUACGCUUAGGAUGUUGAGUCGUAGAGCACGCAG
rnacentral:rRNA from 1 species